rnacentral:sRNA from 1 species
AUCUACCACGUGUACGCUGCGGUCCCUGGGCGCUGUCCACACCCACCUGGCGACUGCGUGCGACGUGUUUGUAGCC